CGAGUUUGAUCCUUACAAAACUAAUACACGAAAUGUUUUAUUCAAGCAAGAUAAAUUAUGCAGGAGACAUCAAGUCCCUUAUUCAGUCUAUAAGUAAACCCACCACUAUCUAGCACAUUACCGAGCCAGAAAGCGCUUCUUGAAUGCUUCAACAUUCUCUUUAGGAUCUAUUUUCGUCUGCUUGUAAGCCUCAAUCUUGUUUAUC
rnacentral:misc_RNA from 1 species